rnacentral:sRNA from 1 species
UCCUACAAUGUACUCUUCGCCACUACGAC